rnacentral:lncRNA from 1 species
GGGAGGGAUUGGGAGCAACUGCCCAGUAGGCACUCCAAGGCCACCAGGGCUGGGCACAGAGAGAAGGGCCCUGGCAACUGCCAGGUGCCUUAUAGCUGCUGGGAGGACAGCUGUGACCACAGAGGGUCGGGCUGCCUUUACCUCUGUGCCAGUCUGGGUGGGCCAGCCUGUGGCUGAGCACUUGAUCUUGGGUGCUCCACAUGUGCUGUCUGCCUGACCACACCCUACAGCUCACUUUCAUAAAGCAGGAGGCACUGGACUUCAGAAGGAAACUCGCUCAGUCACGAUCAGAGGUGAGUGCCCC